CAUUCCAUUUCUUUUAUUCUAAUUUCAUUCUCUUUCUUUCUUCUCGUUCUUUCUUCCGCUUUUCCUCUGUUUUCUCCUCUUUCGAUUUCUGAGAGAUGGAAUUGGGUUUUGUUUGAGGGAACUAGUUGGUGAAGCUGCGUAGAUGUAUGAGAUGUAGUUGUUGUGAAUUAUGAAGAAGAACAAUAAGGAUUGUUAGGUUCGUGAGUGAAUCAAGAAGAUUUAGAAAUUAGAGUUUUCAUUUGGUUUCGAGUUUGUCUAGAAUUGAUAAGAGUAUUGGGUUGUUGAGAGUGAUGAAAAAGGAGGGUUUAUGUUUAAUUUAUUUAUGGAGUUGUUUUAAUGAAGGAGUGAAUAAUUAGGGUUUCUGAGAUUUGAAAUCGGUUGAAGAUUUAUGAGCAAUUAAGGAUGGAAUUAAGUAAUUAAUGGAGGGUUCUAUGCGUUGGAAGCAAAGAAGAUAAAUCAAAGUUCGAUUCUCAAACUUCGAAGAAGAUUCAAAGAAUUAAGGUUCAUGUGUUCUUCACCAAAUUGAAAUUAGGGUUUGAGUAGAAUUGAGUUGGUGAAUUGACAAUUCAGAAGAUGUUCAAGCUUGGUUGCAGGUGUGGAUGAUUAAGACAAGUGGUAGUAGUGGUGUUGAAUGUAUGGAGAUUACAGGUAGUUGUGGUGAUGAUGUUUUUGCUGCGGUAUCUUGGAUUGCAGGGAAGGGGUUGGUGGUCUACAAUUGAACUGGUGAUGCACAAGAAGCUGCAGAUAGUUGAGCUAAGAGGUGGAGUGAGUCUGUUGUUGUGCUGUGAAGAAACUGAGGAAGGGGUGUUAAAGUUAGGGGAUGCUGAUAAGAUACUGGUGUUGAGAAUUGAGUUGCAGGAUUGAAUGUGUGAUGUUAAUGAUGUUUAGAGGAUAUCUGAACUGUUUCAGGUGUACAGAUUGUUGGUGAUAUUGAACUGGAAUGAGGUUACAGUUCAAGAGAUGUUAGUAUUGGGAGUUCAAGGUGGCUGUGUGUUGUUCAAGAUGAGAUGAUGAACCUCAGAUGUGGAAGGUGAAUCAAAUACUGGUGGUUUGAGUCUUAAUAGGGGUUGAGCUGAAUGCAAGUUGCAUUUGGUAGUGAAUGUGAAGAAUUGUGUUAUAGUUACCGGUGCAGGCAGUGUGUGUAUGGUGUAUGGAAUUGAUUAGUUGCAAAUGAAUGUUGAGUUGGUAUUGCAGUUGAAGUAAGUGGCAUUGUAAUGUUGAGGAUGGUGAUUGUAGAGUUGUAAAUAGUGAGUGUCGUGAAAGCUUGGAACUACUGCAAUUGCAGGUAGGCAUAGUCCUUGUUUGUAAUUAGAAUUUAAAGUUUGUUUACUAUAUUUGAAUUGAUGUUGUUGCGUUAAAAUGAAAGUUAAUAAUGUAAGUUUUCUAGUUGAAGUGAAGCUGCAUUAUAUUUAGA